AUGGACGAGCGCCUCGAGCCGCCUCCCUGUGGACAUGGACGACGGCCGCGGCGACCCCUACCGGACGCUGCUCCGGGAGGCCACGGCGGCGCUGCUCAACGCCUACUACAACGCGCCGGGGUCGCCUUCCUGUACCCCACCACCGCCAGCGUCCUUGACCACCUCAACGGCGCGCUCCUCAGCUCCGCCCAGCGCGUGCUCAUCGAGGGCGCCCGCUUCCGCCGCGCCAACACCGGCGGUGGGGGGCCUGCCGGCCGGACCAAGCUGCCGUGA
rnacentral:rRNA from 1 species